rnacentral:tRNA from 1 species
GGGGAUUUAGCUCAGUGGUAGAGCACUUGCCUAGCAAGCGCAAGGCCCUAGGUUCAGUCCCCA